GGAUUAGAAACCCUGGUAGUCCACGCCCUAAACGAUGUCAACUAGCUGUCGGGGUCUUCGGACUUUGGUAGCGCAGCUAACGCGUGAAGUUGACCGCCUGGGGAGUACGGUCGCAAGAUUAAAACUCAAAGGAAUUGACGGGGACCCGCACAAGCGGUGGAUGAUGUGGAUUAAUUCGAUGCAACGCGAAAAACCUUACCUACCCUUGACAUGUCUAGAAUCCCGAAGAGAUUUGGGAGUGCUCGAAAGAGAACUGGAACACAGGUGCUGCAUGGCCGUCGUCAGCUCGUGUCGUGAGAUGUUGGGUUAAGUCCCGCAACGAGCGCAACCCUUGUCAUUAGUUGCUACGAAAGGGCACUCUAAUGAGACUGCCGGUGACAAACCGGAGGAAGGU
rnacentral:rRNA from 1 species